ACUCCAAUCUCCCAUCACCAUGAGGGCUUUCCUUGUAUGCUCGCUCUCUCUUCAUUUCAGUCCUUCUCUUGGCUUCUUGUGUUAGUGCUCGAGAGUUGGUUCAAAAUGAAAUGAUGAGUACUGAUCAUAAGGUGGGCAUUACAGCCCGCGAGAGCUGUGGAAUUUAUCGUCGAAAUUGCGGACCCAAGCCAAAGAAGUGUUCUGGGAAGAAUAAAGAAUGUGCGCCACCAGGCCCUUGAAAAUGAGAAGAUAAUGCUUAGUAUCAAGGAGCUGGCCGCUAUGGACCAACAACAAACAUAUAUAGAUAGAUGGAUAGAUGGUAUGAAGAGGAGUCGCCAGGGGUUGAAGAAUAAUAUUACUUGGCGCAUGUACUGAGAUGUAUGGGUUGAUUUGGAGUUUGUGGUUUCGAGUGUUGGACUAUAUGCAUUAGGAGUUUGCUUAGUUAAUAAUAGAGCUGAUUUAGGUCGGUCUCCAUGGGUGCGUAUGUUGUGUUUCUUCUUUUGUUCUUUUCUCUUUGUUUUAUUUUGAUUCUUCUACUCCAUCAUUCUAGCAUCAUUUUCAACAUUUCAUAUUUACCAUAGAUCUUGAUUUUCA